GACGAACGCUGGCGGCGUGCUUAACACAUGCAAGUCGAACGGAAAGGCCCUGCUUUUGUGGGGUGCUCGAGUGGCGAACGGGUGAGUAACACGUGAGUAACCUGCCCUUGACUUUGGGAUAACUUCAGGAAACUGGGGCUAAUACAGGAUAGGAGCUCUUGCUGCAUGGUGGGGGUUGGAAAGUUUCGGCGGUUGGGGAUGGACUCGCGGCUUAUCAGCUUGUUGGUGGGGUAGUGGCUUACCAAGGCUUUGACGGGUAGCCGGCCUGAGAGGGUGACCGGCCACAUUGGGACUGAGAUACGGCCCAGACUCCUACGGGAGGCAGCAGUGGGGAAUAUUGCACAAUGGGCGGAAGCCUGAUGCAGCAACGCCGCGUGCGGGAUGACGGCCUUCGGGUUGUAAACCGCUUUCGCCUGUGACGAAGCGUGAGAGACGGUAAUGGGUAAAGAAGCACCGGCUAACUACGUG
rnacentral:rRNA from 1 species